rnacentral:lncRNA from 1 species
CUUACAUUUCAAAUGCUAUCCUCUUUCCUGAUUUCCCCUCUGGAAUCACCCUAUCACUUUCCCCUCUCCCCCUACCUCUAUGAGAGUGUUCUCCCACCCAUCCACCCACUCCUUCUGCCUCCCCGACCUGGCAUUCCUCUACACAGGAGCAUUGAGUCUUCACAGAACCAAAGGUCUCUCAUUGAUGCCCGAUAAGGCCAUCCUCUGCUACAUAUGUGGCUGGAGCCAUGGGGCCUCAAUGUGUACUCUUUGAUUGGUGGUUUAGUCUCUGGGAGCUCUGGGCUGUCUAGUUGGUUGAUAUUGUUGUUCUUCCUAUGGGGUGAAAACCCCUUCAGGUCCUUCAGUUCUUUCUCUAACUCCUCCAUUGGAGGGCCCCAUUUUCAGUUCAAUGGUUGGUUGAGAGCAUCUGACUCUGUAUUUCUCAGGCUCCGGCAGAGCCUCUCAGGAGACAUCUAUAUCAGGCUCCUGUCCGCAUGCACUUCUUUGCAUCCACAAUAUUGUCUGGGGAAAACAUCAUAUUAAGUAUGAGUGACACUAUAAAUUUUAGAGAAGGAAUGUCCAAGUAGUUUUAUCUUAAUUAUCGGUUUAAAUUUUCCUAAUUUGAUGACAAAGUCAAUAAAAUAAAUUUCAUGUU